rnacentral:rRNA from 1 species
AUGAACGUGCUCCGACUGGAAUCUCGUCUUGCUGGCGUCGUCGACUACCUCGCUCUACUGAAGGUUGCGGUGUCGCGAAUCGACACAGCGCUCUGGCAAAGGGGGGCGCUCCAGAAUGACCUCGAGUCUCUGAUGACUCGACCCAAUGAAAUCCCCGGUCGAGUGCAGGAAUGGAAGAAGUCUUCUGCCCGAUGUGGUGCUGAUGUGGCUCUAUCUCUGGUUCGCGUCCACUACAAGGAAGACAAAGAAGAGAAGCUAGCAGCGAUCAAGGUUGCCAACACCAAGAAGCUUGACUUCCACUCCUUCAUGGAGACUUUUAUUGCUGCUGCCACUUGA